rnacentral:rRNA from 1 species
CCUACGGGAGGCAGCAGUGGGGAAUAUUGGGCAAUGGGCGCAAGCCUGACCCAGCAACGCCGCGUGAAGGAAGAAGGCUUUCGGGUUGUAAACUUCUUUUCUCAGGGACGAAGCAAGUGACGGUACCUCAGGAAUAAGCCACGGCUAACUACGUGCCAGCAGCCGCGGUAAUACGUAGGUGGCAAGCGUUAUUCGGAUUCAUUGGGUGUAAAGCGCGAGUAGGCGGGAUAGCAAGUCAGAUGUGAAAUCCUAUGGCUUAACCAUAGAACUGCAUGUGAAACUGUUUUUCUAGAGUAUGGGAGAGGUAGGCGGAAUUCUUGGUGUAGCGGUGAAAUGCGUAGAGAUAAAGAGGAACACUAGUGGCGAAGGCGGCCUGCUAG